UACGGAGGGUGCAAGCGUUAAUCGGAAUUACUGGGCGUAAAGGGUGCGUAGGUGGUGUCUUAAGUUAUCUGUGAAAUCCCUGGGCUUAACCUGGGCAGGUCAGAUAAAACUGAGGUACUCGAGUAUGGGAGAGGGUAGUGGAAUUUCCGGUGUAGCGGUGAAAUGCGUAGAGAUCGGAAGGAACACCAGUGGCGAAGGCGGCUACCUGGCCUAAUACUGACACUGAGGCACGAAAGCGUGGGGAGCAAACAGG
rnacentral:rRNA from 1 species